rnacentral:rRNA from 1 species
GACGGAGGCCGCGGCCGAUCAGGCAGUUGGUAGGGCAAAGGCCUACCAAACCAAUAACCGGUACGGGCCGUGAGAGCGGAAGCCCGGAGAUGGGAACUGAGACAAGGUCCCAGGCCCUACGGGGCGCAGCAGUUGCGAAAACUCCGCAAUGCACGAAAGUGUGACGGGGCUACCCCGAGUGCCGUCCGCUGAGGACGGCUUUUAUCUGCUGUAAGGAGGCAGAGGAAUAAGGAGAGGGCAAGUCUGGUGUCAGCCGCCGCGGUAAUACCAGCUCUCCGAGUGGUAGGGACGAUUACUGGGCUUAAAGCGUCCGUAGCCGGCCUAACAAGUCUCUCGUCAAAUCCAACGAUCCAAUCGCUGGACCGCAAGAGAUACUGUCAGGCUAGGAGGCGGGAGAGGCCGACGGUACUCUUGGGGUAGGGGUGAAAUCCUAUAAUCCCAGGAGGACCACCAGUGGCGAAGGCUGUCGGCUCGCACGCGCUCGACGGUGAGGGACGAAAGCUUGGGGAGCGAACCGGAUUAGAUACCCGGGUAGUCCAAGCUGUAAACGAUGCGGGCUGGGUGUUGGGGUGGCUACGGGCCACUUCAGUGCCGCAGCGAAGGCGUUAAGCCCGCCGCCUGGGGAGUACGGCCGCAAGGCUGAAACUUAAAGGAAUUGGCGGGGGAGCACCACAAGGGGUGAAGCUUGCGGUUUAAUUGGAGUCAACGCCGGGAACCUUACCGGGGGCGACAGCAGAAUGAUAGCCAGAUUGAUGGUCUUGCUUGACGAGCUGAGAGGAGGUGCAUGGCCGUCGCCAGUUCGUGCCGUGAGGUGUCCUGUUAAGUCAGGCAACGAUCGAGACCCGCGUCCCUUGUUGCCUCUGAGGAGAGUCUCCGAUGGGCAAGACUAGGGAGACCGCCGCCGAUAAGGCGGAGGAAGGAGCGGGCAACGGCAGGUCAGUAUGCCCCGAAUCCCCCGGGCUACACGCGACGCCUGCAAUGGCAGGGACAAUGGGUUCCGACUCCGAGAGGAGGAGGUAAUCUCGAAACCCUGUCGUAGUUGGGAUCGAGGGCUGGAACUCGCCCUCGUGAAUCAUGGAAUCCCUAGUAAUCGCGCGUCAUCAGCGCGCGGUGAAUACGUCCCCGCUCCUUGCACACACCGCCCGUCGUUCCACCCAAGUGGGGUUUGGAUGAGGCGUGGUCCUUGUGGCCAUGUCGAA